UGAGGUAAGAAUAGAAGGGACUACUGGGAAAAUUGAAGCUUGUAAGCUGUGGCUGAGAAAUUAGAAGUGAUGAAGAAGAGACCAGCAUCAUUGAGGUGAAAUCUUCUAGGAACUGUUUUCUGAGAGGACAAAGAAACUGUGUUCCAGAGAGAGCCAGGAUUGUACCUUGUGUUGCAGCUGAACUUUGUAGUCUCCCCUCCCCCAGCCUGAAACCUGCUUGCUCAGGGGUGGAGCUUCCUGCUCAUUCGUUCUGCCACGCCCACUGCUGGAACCUGCAGAGCAACAUGUGUGCUCACCUUUCUACUGGACCAGAGAUUAUUCGGCGGGAAUCGGGUCUCCUCCCCCUUCCUUCAUAACUAGUGUUGCAACAAUAAAAUUUGAGCUUUGAUCAGAAUAACUGUCUUGGCUACAUUUCUUUCUCUCUCGCCACCUAGCCCCUCUUCUCUUCUAGGUUUCCAAAAUGCCUUUCCAGGCUAGAACCCAGGUUGUGGUCUGCUGGCCGGACACAACAGAACUUGGUCACAUGUAAGAAUCAUCCAGGUGGUACUGGUUUUGAAGGCAUGACAGUGUCAUGAGGAGCAACUGAGGCUUGGUCCAGUGAAGGGAGCAUAAGUGAGACUAUCAGUGAAGCCUAGUUGCAGGAGAAGAACCCAA
rnacentral:lncRNA from 1 species